GUGUCAGCAGCCGCGGUAAAACGUAGGAGGCGAACGUUAUCCGGAUUUACUGGGCGUAAAGAGCGCGAAGGCGGUCUUGCAAGUCGGGCGUGAAAUCUCCCGGCUCAACUGGGAGGGGUCGUUCGAUACUGCAGGACUUGAGGACGGGAGAGGGGAGUGGAAUUCCCGGUGUAGCGGUGGAAUGCGCAGAGAUCGGGAGGAACACCAGUGGCGAAGGCGGCUCCCUGGCCCGGUCCUGACGCUCAAGCGCGAAAGCGUGGGGAGCGAACGGGAUUAGAUACCCCGGUAGUCCACGCCGUAAACGAUGGGUGCUAGGUGUUGGUGGUGUCGAUCCCAUCAGUGCCGAAGCUAACGCAUUAAGUUCUCCGCCUGGGGAGUACGGCCGCAAGGCUAAAACUCAAAGGAAUUGGCGGGG
rnacentral:rRNA from 1 species